CGGCGCGCUGGGAAAUUCUGAGGGCGAGGAAGUGGCUCCUGUUGCGUGGCCUUAGGACGGGAAAGCCAGAGCCAAAAAAGCCUAGUCUUCACAUUGAGAGGUGCUAGUCAAUGAAUUAUACACAUGGAGCCCCACCCUCAUCUGGACUUCAAAACAAUGUCACAAUGAGAUGAGACUGGGGGAAGGGUUCUGCUUGAGAAGGGCUCUCUUGCCCUUUCACCUUCUGCCACAGUAUGUAUGACACAACAAGAAGGCCCUGACCAGAUGUGGCUUCUCAACCUUGGACUUCCCAGCCUCUAGAACUGUGAGCCAAGUAAAUUUCUAUUUAUUAUA